UUGUAUUCAGCAUUUCACUGUGAGGUCUACUACACCUGUUGUAUUCAGCAUUUCACUGUGAGGUCUACUACACCUGUUGUAUUCAGCAUUUCACUGUGAGGUCUACUACACCUGUUGUAUUCAGCAUUUCACUGUGAGGUCUACUACACCUGUUGUAUUCAGCAUUUCACUGUGAGGUCUACUACACCUGUUGUAUUCAGCAUUUCACUGUGAGGUCUACUACACCUGUUGUAUUCAGCAUUUCACUGUGAGGUCUACUACCCCUGUUGUAUUCAGCAUUUCACUGUGAGGUCUACUACACCUGUUGUAUUCAGCAUUUCACUGUGAGGUCUACUACACCUGUUGUAUUCAGCAUUUCACUGUAAGGUCUACUACACCUGUUGUACUCAGCAUUUCACUGUAAGGUCUACUACACCUGUUGUAUUCAGCAUUUCACUGUGAGGUCUACUACACCUGUUGUAUUCAGCUUUUCACUGUGAGGUCUACUACACCUGUUGUAUUCAGCUUUUCACUGUGAGGUCUACUACACCUGUUGUAUUCAGCAUUUCACUGUGAGGUCUACUACACCUGUUGUAUUCAGCAUUUCACUGUGAGGUCUACUACACCUGUUGUAUUCAGCAUUUCACUGUAAGGUCUACUACACCUGUUGUAUUCAGCAUUUCACUGUGAGGUCUACUACACCUGUUGUAUUCAGCAUUUCACUGUGAGGUCUACUACACCUGUUGUAUUCAGCAUUUCACUGUGAGGUCUACUACACCUGUUGUAUUCAGCAUUUCACUGUGAGGUCUACUACACCUGUUGUAUUCAGCAUUUCACUGUGAGGUCUACUACACCUGUUGUAUUCAGCAUUUCACUGUGAGGUCUACUACACCUGUUGUAUUCAGCAUUUCACUGUGAGGUCUACUACACCUGUUGUAUUCAGCAUUUCACUGUGAGGUCUACUACACCUGUUGUAUUCAGCAUUUCACUGUGAGGUCUACUACACCUGUUGUAUUCAGCAUUUCACUGUGAGGUCUACUACACCUGUUGUAUUCAGCAUUUCACUGUCAGGUCUACUACACCUGUUGUAUUCAGCAUUUCACUGUGAGGUCUACUACACCUGUUGUAUUCAGCAUUUCACUGUCAGGUCUACUACACCUGUUGUAUUCAGCAUUUCACUGUGAGGUCUACUACACCUGUUGUAUUCAGCAUUUCACUGUGAGGUCUACUACACCUGUUGUAUUCAGCAUUUCACUGUAAGGUCUACUACACCUGUUGUAUUCAGCAUUUCACUGUGAGGUCUACUACACCUGUUGUAUUCAGCAUUUCACUGUAAGGUCUACUACACCUGUUGUAUUCAGCAUUUCACUGUAAGGUCUACUACACCUGUUGUAUUCAGCAUUUCACUGUGAGGUCUACUACACCUGUUGUAUUCAGCAUUUCACUGUAAGGUCUACUACACCUGUUGUAUUCAGCAUUUCACUGUGAGGUCUACUACACCUGUUGUAUUCAGCAUUUCACUGUGAGGUCUACUACACCUGUUGUAUUCAGCAUUUCACUGUAAGGUCUACUACACCUGUUGUAUUCAGCAUUUCACUGUGAGGUCUACUACACCUGUUGUAUUCAGCAUUUCACUGUGAGGUCUACUACACCUGUUGUAUUCAGCAUUUCACUGUGAGGUCUACUACACCUGUUGUAUUCAGCAUUUCACUGUAAGGUCUACUACACCUGUUGUAUUCAGCAUUUCACUGUAAGGUCUACUACACCUGUUGUAUUCAGCAUUUCACUGUGAGGUCUACUACACCUGUUGUAUUCAGCAUUUCACUGUAAGGUCUACUACACCUGUUGUAUUCAGCAUUUCACUGUGAGGUCUACUACACCUGUUGUAUUCAGCAUUUCACUGUAAGGUCUACUACACCUGUUGUAUUCAGCAUUUCACUGUCAGGUCUACUACACCUGUUGUAUUCAGCAUUUCACUGUCAGGUCUACUACACCUGUUGUAUUCAGCAUUUCACUGUCAGGUCUACUACACCUGUUGUAUUCAGCAUUUCACUGUCAGGUCUACUACACCUGUUGUAUUCAGCAUUUCACUGUGAGGUCUACUACACCUGUUGUAUUCAGCAUUUCACUGUGAGGUCUACUACACCUGUUGUAUUCAGCAUUUCACUGUAAGGUCUACUACACCUGUUGUAUUCAGCAUUUCACUGUGAGGUCUACUACACCUGUUGUAUUCAGCAUUUCACUGUCAGGUCUACUACACCUGUUGUAUUCAGCAUUUCACUGUGAGGUCUACUACACCUGUUGUAUUCAGCAUUUCACUGUGAGGUCUACUACACCUGUUGUAUUCAGCAUUUCACUGUGAGGUCUACUACACCUGUUGUAUUCAGCAUUUCACUGUGAGGUCUACUACACCUGUUGUAUUCAGCAUUUCACUGUGAGGUCUACUACACCUGUUGUAUUCAGCAUUUCACUGUGAGGUCUACUACACCUGUUGUAUUCAGCAUUUCACUGUGAGGUCUACUACACCUGUUGUAUUCAGCAUUUCACUGUGAGGUCUACUACACCUGUUGUAUUCAGCAUUUCACUGUGAGGUCUACUACACCUGUUGUAUUCAGCAUUUCACUGUAAGGUCUACUUCACCUGUUGUAUUCAGCAUUUCACUGUAAGGUCUACUACACCUGUUGUAUUCAGCAUUUCACUGUGAGGUCUACUACACCUGUUGUAUUCAGCAUUUCACUGUAAGGUCUACUACACCUGUUGUAUUCAGCAUUUCACUGUAAGGUCUACUACACCUGUUGUAUUCAGC